rnacentral:lncRNA from 1 species
CUCAGAUAUAAGCAAACCAGGACAACUGACCACAUACAUUAAGAAGAUCAUCUGCAUGGUCAGAGGUCUUACAGACCUACUUCUGGGACAGAAAACUUUUGUGAGGCCUGAUAGAUAGAAAUAACCAGAUAAGGACUUCAUUUGAACACCUAGGAGAUGCUCCAGUCCAGGAGUUAUACUACCUUUCUGCACAUUUCCAAACUUUCAACUGGAAUGAUGCAGAGGGUGGAAGCAGCUGAAAAGGAUCUGGAUCCGACACCAGGGUUUUUCCUCCCCACACGUCUGUGACAAGCUAGCAAAAGUGCAUACCUCUACAUUUAAAUACAAAUAAGAAGACUGCCUUGCAAAGGAAGUGCACACAAGGACAGAUGAUCACAUCUCACACUGGACUGGAGGCAAACCUGAACCUUUAUGAUAGGAAUACAUCUGAUACAGAACCAAUUGUAAAGACUUUUUGCCAUACACUGUGACCACUAAUAUUUUAUCGCUACUUUUGCAGAGUAAUCUGCAAUUAAAGAGAUAGCAUAAAGAAUGAAAUAUUUUUGAGUCCUUCUGUUAUAACCCACCCCCAGAGUUAAAUGCUGACAGCUAGAGAAAGAACAUGCAGAGCUAUCU